rnacentral:rRNA from 1 species
UACGGAGGGUGCGAGCGUUGUUCGGAAUUAUUGGGCGUAAAGCGCGUGUAGGCGGUUUGAUAAGUCUGAUGUGAAAGCCCCGGGCUCAACCCGGGAAGUGCAUUGGAAACUGUCAGACUUGAAUACGGGAGAGGGCAGUGGAAUUCCUAGUGUAGGAGUGAAAUCCGUAGAUAUUAGGAGGAACACCGGUGGCGAAGGCGGCUGCCUGGACCGAUAUUGACGCUGAGACGCGAAAGCGUGGGGAGCAAACAGGAUUAGAUACCCUGGUAGUCCACGCCGUAAACGAUGAGUACUAGGUGUUGCGGGUAUUGACCCCUGCAGUGCCGCAGCUAACGCAUUAAGUACUCCGCCUGGGAAGUACGGCCGCAAGGCUAAA